AGAAUGAAAGAGCAAACCCUAAAAAAGAUGAAAAGGAGCCUAAGCAUCCAAGAGAUCCUCUCCAGAGAGCAAAAUUAGGUAUGGCCGUCUUCCCCUGUCAAAAGAAUGACUCUGAAUUCGUAGUAGGGGUAUUUAUAGGUGAGGAGCGCGUCAAAAUCAGGCCCAAGUCCAGCGUGCCACCGCCGGGCGGUUUAAGUGUGCCGCCCGGCGGUUUCCCAUAACCUACCGCCACCGCCUGGCGGUUUCCCUCGCCACCGCCCGACGGCAAUCGCCAGCGCCCGACGAUUUCUCUCAGCUUGAGAUUCUGCCUACUCCUCGUCCUGGACCGCCCGACGGUUUAAGUGUGCCGCCGGGCGGUACGUCGACUCUUCAAAACUUCAUUUUUCUGUUCUUUUCUUGAGUCAAUGACCUGUAUCUUCAACUCCAUUCUUCACUUUUCUCAAAUUAGCUUCAAAAGAAUGCAAAACAAGCAUAAAAUCGCUAAAAACAGCUUUUGACUCUCUCCAGACUCAUUUAUUGAGUUUUGCUUGAUUCUAAGCUCGUUCGAAGUAGUAAAGGGUGUAAUUUGGUCCAAAUUGACAUAUGAAAAUCACUGUUUUUCAACCUUCAUCAACACCCCAAACUUAGAAUUUUGCUUGUCCUCAAGCAAAACAAAACAAAACAACAAACAAAUAAAACUUGGCUUUACACUGUUUCAUCCAAUGCCUCAACAAUCCCCAAGAUACAUGACAAAAUCACUCAAAUCAAUAUCUUUAGUGAAAUCCAAAAUAAGAUGCAUGCAUGCUUUCAAUCCAGAGAUUGCACAAUAGAUGUUAUACACUAUGAAUGAUCAAUCCACUAAGCAAAAAUGUACUCAUGAAAUUUAACAAUUCAUACCAAGCAAGUGUUUUACUCAAUCACUCAAGUGUUUAAGGUGACACUCUAACUCUCCAUUGUUCAUAAGUCACAUGAAACAAAAUUGCCAUUUAUCUCAAACAGUCAACAUCUUUACAUGCAAAUGCCAUCAAAAGGACUUUUCCAAGGCUUGUAAUGAGGUUGGGCUAACAAGAAAGAAUUGGUUUUUCUAGAAUGCAAAAUCCUUGAGUCAAGAGAGCCAUUAAAAUAUUCAACAAUUAAGCACAACUCUCUUCCUUACCAAUCUCUCUCAUUCCCAACUUUUCCCUUUUCUUUUUCUUUUGCAUCGAGCUCUUCUUCAUGCUUUUCUUCUUUGCUUUUCUUUUUCUCAUCAAUUUUUCUUUUCACAACAUUUGAGCUCAAUGCUUUUCACUUGCUUUUUCAACUUUCCCCCAACAACCCCAAACUUGAACCUUUUUAUCUCAUACAGUUAAGCUCAUUCCAACUCAA
rnacentral:lncRNA from 1 species